rnacentral:misc_RNA from 1 species
AAGUCGUAACAAGGUUUCCGUGGGUGAACCUGCGGAAGGAUCAUUACCGAGUACCGGAGCUUUCGGGUUCCUACUCCCACCCUAUGUUGACUUUGAAUGUUGCUUUGGCGGACCGGUGGUCUCACCGCCGGCCUAGGCUGGAGAGCGUCCGCCAGAGGAUUUCUAAACUCUGUUUAACUGUGAAUUUCUGAGUCUUGAUAAAUUGAAUUAAAA